GUCAUGCACGCCGCCUGCACCAGCGCGAACUUAGACAGUAAUUUUACACUAUUCGGCAGAGUUCUGCAACCGUUAUGAGCAACUGGACAUCCUAGUGUAGAUCGGAGAAUGCAAGACACGUAGGAAAAUCAUUAGGUGAAAAUCACCGGAUUCCCACCCGCGCGGCAGGUGGGGUAUGUGGGAGUUGAACCUCACUAAAAACUCCUGCCGCUCACAACCGGCGCCCUACCUCGGACCGGGCCGGAGCCCAGUCGAGGCUAUUGAAACGGCGGGACAGGGUUGACGCAGAGCACAUUACAUCCAUCCCACCGUCCCACGGACGCCGGACCGGCGGCCGCCAGUGACACGACCACCGGUUCCCUCGUUCAGCGGGACGGUUAGGGCCUGCUUAGGGAAUUUUAAAAUUUAUUUGUCGAAUGUAUAUCCUUCACAACUGGGCCUACUGAGAGCCAUCUAGAUUUCUAUGACCUGUUGCCUAUCUGUCGUCUCAAGGUGAUGACGGCAUGGCGGCUUCGGUAAAUAAUUAACACCAGACCACCACCACCACUGUGUGAGUCCGCACGGAUAGGUACCACCGUCAUGCCUAUUUCUGCCGUGAAGCAGUAAUGUUUCGGUUUGAAGGGUGGGGCAGUCGUUGUAACUAUACUGAGAUCUUAGAACUUAUAUCUCAAGGUGGCUGUCGGCACUUAUGCUGUAGAUGUCUAUGGGCUCCGGUAACCGCUUAACAUCAGGUGGGCUGUGAGCUCGUCCAUCCAUCUGAGCAAUAAAAAAAAGGAAAAGAAAAUUUCUCAAAAGCCUGGUGGUUUGCAAGUAACGGCUUAGCUCUGUCUCUGGCAUAGCUGACGCCCAUGAAAUACCAUACCUGCUCACCAUUACAUAGGACAUAUGCACAUCUGCCUACAUUGGCUAUAAAAAGAAUAUCUACUCAUGAAUGCCCGAAACUAUCAAAUAAAACUUAAAAAGAAUUUGUAUUUUAGCGCCUGAACAUAAAUGCCGAGCCAAAAGAUAUGAGCAGAGAAUACUUUACUUUUAUGUUUUGCUAAUUGAUUACAUUUUGUUUUGUUUUGGAACGAAGUUCCUUAUGGGACGAUGCGGAGGGGUAUAGCCCGAGAGCCCGUGGGAUCUACCUGUAUGUAUUUGACCAGACCUGAAUUUUCGUACAUUGAGACCCCUAUACCUACCAUGCAUGAAUUGGGGACUCACUAAGCUCAAAGUGGUCGACGCGCCGAGCGCUCAGGUAGGACAGGUACCGAUUUUGACGGAUUUUAAGUCCAUUUGACCACGUCUGCCGUUUUGAAAUUUUGAAAAUAUAUGAUUAUUAUUAUCGGAAAAUAAGAAUGGCAGACCAUUAUCGCGCAUUUUACUUUGUGGCAGACCACUUUGAAAAUGCUAAAUUGUAUUGAAAAUGCAAAAUUUUGAAAGUAAUUGACUAGAUCUGCCAUUGUUUUAAUAAUAUGUUGUUUAUUAUAGUCUUAAAAACUUAUAUUGAUCACGGCAGACCUCUACAUUGCGUACAUACAUCAACAUAUAAUAAAAUCUUAGCUACUACCCGGCCAGAUGUAUAUUAUGUUUUCCGUUCACUGUUUUAGAGGAAUAUAAUUUACUUGCGAUUUACUUUAGCAAUGUAUUUACCGAAAUUAAUAUUUUUUUAUAUUAUAUAUACUAAACUUCAUUAGUUUGACAAUUAAGAAGUGAAUUUUUUAUGGAAUAAUUAUAAAUAAUACGGUAUAAUGCUGAUCAAAAAAUAAUUCAAUUCCUCAUUUUUAUCAUUCAACAUUUAACUUGCCAGCUAUACAAUGCCAAAAAAUCUAGUGAUGUAGAUGAUGGAAGGUUCCAGCUAUUCGUUAGCAACUAUAAAUAUUCAGACAUCAAUGAAAAUUAUAGAAAAAAAAUCAAAAAUUUGAGGCAAGCUCAAUACCACCGCAUAAGAGUGAGCUUUAUCAACAACUUUUGAGGGCCCACUAUAUUUCUUCUAUUUGGAGAAAUGCUUACAAAAAGCAACUGACAACUUUAGACCCAUUGGAGUAUGGUUGGAUUGAGCAGGACAACAUAUAUGCCUUCAAAGGGUUCGAAGGUGACCAACUUCCAUAUUUUGUGAGUGACUUAAUCACCAAUGUUCCUGGUAAGUUGAUAACAAUUCUUUCUCGAACAUGUUCAGAUGAAUUUACGUUCAUUUUACAAUUUAUGUUUUAUUUUUGCAGUAUUCGAUUCAAUGGUUGAUGAAGACGAGUCGCCUAACGAUAAAGAUGACUCCGAUGAUGAUGAUGAUGAAUGAAGAUUGAUAUAUAUAUAUAUAAUAUGUAAUGCAUGCAUGAUAUAUUUUUUUAACUGAUUUAACACUUUUAAAUUUUGUCUUGACGAAAUAAAAAUGAGGAAUUGAAUUCUUUUUUGAUCAGCAUUGUACCGUAUUAUUUAUAAUUAUUCCAUAAAAAAUUCACUUCUUAAUUGUCUAACUAAUGAAGUUUAGUAUAUAUAAUAUAAAAAAAUAUUAAUUUCGGUAAAUACAUUGCUAAAGUAAAUCGCAAGUAAAUUAUAUUCCUCUAAAACAGUGAACGGAAAACAUAAUAUACAUCUGGCCGGGUAGUAGCUAAGAUUUUAUUAUAUGUUGAUGUAUGUACGCAAUGUAGAGGUCUGCCGUGAUCAAUAUAAGUUUUUAAGACUAUAAUAAACAACAUAUUAUUAAAUCAAUGGCAGAUCUAGUCAAUUACUUUCAAAAUUUUGCAUUUUCAAUGCAAUUUAGCAUUUUCAAAGUGGUCUGCCACAAAGUAAAAUGCGCGAUAAUGGUCUGCCAUUCUUAUUUUCCGAUAAUAAUAAUCAUAUAUUUUCAAAAUUUCAAAACGGCAGACGUGGUCAAAUGGAUUUAAAAUCCGUCAAAAUCGGUACCUGUCCUACCUGAGCGCUCGGCGCGUCGACCACUUUGAGCUUAGUGAGUCCCCACCUCAUGCAUGGUAGGUAUAGGGGUCUCAAUGUACGAAAAUUCAGGUCUGGUCAAAUACAUACAGGUAGAUCCCACGGGCUCUCGGGCUAGUACCAUAACCAGGAAAAAACGUCCGUAACGUAAGAUUUUUAUUAGUAAUGCACACAGUGUACGACUAACUUUGUAAUAAAGUACAAAUUAGUAAUGCACACAGUGUACGACUUAACUUUGUAAUAACGUACAAAAAAUAACAUAUUUUUUUAUCAUUCAUUGACCACGAUGUCAGAGCGUUCGUCUGCACAAUACACUAACUCUUAUGCAAACAACCGUGAAUGAAAUGGACCCCCAUAAGUUCACACGUUACCGAAUGACCGUGGGUUGUUACGAAACCUCCAGUUUUAUUUUCUUUAUACCUCGAAUAGAACUUAAAAUUAAUAUUUUUAUAAUAAGGAACUUCGUUCCUAUCCGGUGUCCCACGACACCAUACUUAUUUUUUUUAUUUUUUUAUUUGUCCAAUACGUUCUAGUGAUUUAUAAUAUUCUUUAUUGAUUACUUAGUACUUAAAGGCUAAUACGGAAUGAUUAAUUUAAUUAAGAAAGAUUUAGUACUAAAUUGCAUUCUACCAUUUUAAACUAGAAUGUUUAAAACAGUGAAUAUUGUGGCUAAGCCAAAUAUAAGCGCAGUCAAAUAUUCUACUUUUUUUGAAAAGCAGGGACCAAAAAAGUGAAUAAUUUGGUAAUUGAGUAUAAUAUAAUCAAUAUUGAUGCAAAUAUUAUGUGGUUUUCUUAGUGGUUUUGAUUGCGAGAGGUUUGUGUGCAUGACAUUUUUUUCCCUACUUAUACUAGCGACUUCGAGGGUUUAUGCUAGAUUAAUAGGUGAGCUCAGGGGGCUUUAACCUGGUGUCGUGAAUGACAUCUUGUUGGAACUUAUAUUUAUCCAAAAUUAUUUUGAAAAUAUCGUAUAGCCGUAUAAAUAUAACUAUAGAUUUUUCAGAAUUUCGCUAUAGGUACAUACAAUAAAUUCACCUCAGCUAGUCUCCUUCGUUAAGGAGCUCGCAGUUGAUAAAAUUGAACAAUAGGCCUGUUCCCGUACCCAAGGCCCAAACGUCUUUUGUUUCUUUAGAUUCAAUUGAAAGCGAAGUGACAACAAAAGAAAUAUCCCAGCGCAGUUCGUCCAUAUAGCGGCCAUUGACCCUAACCACUGGACGUUCAUUGCACGACAUUCGGGAUCUCCUUGUAUUUUGUUCCCGUUGAACUAUUCUAUCCAUUUUCUUUCUUCUUCUUCUUUCUUCUAUCUCUAUUCUAAGUUAGCACCUACAAUAGUUACAGGAGAAAAUCGUAUCUUGAAGCUGUUGAAUAAGUUAUGUGCAGAACGAGCCCUACGAUUCACUUAAGUGAACGUUUUUGCAGCACGUCAAGGUUUUUUUUUUUUCAAUUGGACACUGUACAAUGACUGUCCGUCUUUCAAGCCGGGACAUUCCUGCUUCGUCGCAGAAGAAGUGAUAGUAACUCUCGUUUUUAGGUUAGAAUUGGUUACAAUACUUUGAAUGGUGAAUGAGCUUAGGGCCAACUAAUCUUUAAUGGUUAUUGGAGAUUAUAGACAUCAAUAAAGUAAAUGACGCCAGCAAUCUUGAGACAUAAGACUUAUUUUCUAUUCUAUACUAUAAUGGUUGGUACUAUCAAAUCGGAACACAUUACUUUUCGCGACUGAAAUAAGCAGGGUUUUCACAUCUAGACGUAAUGGUUCACAAGACGCCCACCAUUAAUGAAUGCAAUUACAAUGUUUUCCGUAUUUUUAUAGACGAUAUUAUUAUUUUUCCUUUAUCGUGGGAAUUGUUCGUAUUAGGUACAUUUAUAAUUAGAAAAAUUUGUAGCCAUCCGCGGGAUUCGAACGCGGGCACAGUUAUAUCUACCUACAUAAUAUAUGAAUUCACCGGGCCGUCUUAUUCUUUAGGCCACGAUGACUACUUACUAUUCGAUUUUCAUUCCGUUCACCUAGCCGUGACUUGGGAUAAUGCGACACAAUAAACUCAGUAUAACAAAGAUCGUAAACAAAGGUUAUUUUUAUUUUUUUUAUUGUUGAAAUGGGUGGACAAGCUCACAGCCCACCUGGUAAUACGUGGUUACUGGAGCCCAUAGACAUCUACAGCGUAAAUGCGCCACCCACCUUAAGAGAUAAGUUCUAAGGUCUCAGUUUAGUUUCAACGGCUGCCCCACCCUUCGAACCGAAACGCAUUACUGCUUCACGGCAGAAAUAGGCAGGGUGGUGGUACCUACCCGUGCGGACUCACAAGUGGUCCUACCACCAGUAACUAUUUUUUCAACAACAAUACAAAAAAAGAAAUAAUACAACAAACAUUUGUGGAGACAGUGAUUUUCAUAUUAAAAUCCGUUGUGGAUUUUCACACAGAAAUUUCACAUUUAUGCUUAGUUAACAAAGUUCAAAAUCAUUUGUUCUUUGCUUCGGCGACUCUCGCUCCGUCGUGUAGAUUGUUUUGAGUGUUGACCCGCGCUUGCCUUCCAGCUGAUGGACUCCUAACUUGCAGCACAGACUCCACAACGACCUCCUCUACAAAUGGCUGAGUGUCGGAAUCUGAAAUGCCAAAUAAAAACAUUCUUCUAUUUAAAAAGUUUUUAAAAAACGUUGUUGCCUUUUUUAAUGAAUUUAUCGAUAAACUAGCGACCCGCCCUCGCUUCGCUUCGGAAACAUUAAAACACACAUGAAACCAAAAAAAAAAAAUAAAAAAAAAUUAAAAAAGUAGCCUAUGUUCAUCAGGGACAAUGUCAGCUUCUAAUGGAAAAAUAAUUUUUCAAAUCAGUCCAGUAGUUUCGGAGCCUAUUCGAAACAAACAAACAAACAAAUCUUUCCUCUUUAUAAUAUUAUCGACGAUAAACUAUCUCAUGAUCUACUUAGAGUGGUGGUUAGCGCCCACAGGCAUCACUACGUCCAUGCAGUUGCGCAGGUCAUUGACCUUGAGACAUAAAGCCUAGGUUACAAUUAAAUGGUUUAAAGCUGUUCCACGCUUCAAGCACGAACGCAUGACUGUAUCGCGGCAAAAAUAGACAGCUUGUUGAACAUUAACUUAACCAAUCUUUUUUUUUUUCUUUUUUUUGUGAAACUGUGUUCAGUAAAUUCGAAUUCAAGCAAGAGAGAGAGAGAGAGAGAGAGAGAACAUAAAGAACAUAGUUUAUUUUGUCGGUGGCGUGUCGUGAACGUAAAAUGACUAAUUUACAUCCGUUUACUUGGUGAUGGCAAAGAGUUCACGGUAGCGUUAUUUCAAAUAACAGCGGCGAUACCGUUCUCGAAAAUUCACUCACCGUCGUCCGAACAACAAAUUUAUUCUAAAUUAAAUAAAUGUUCUAUUAUUUUAUUAUAUAUUAGAUAUUAAUUCGAACACCGAUCACUUAACGGAUGCUUAAAUUAAAUUAUGUUAACAUAAAUAUAAGUGAAUUUUUAUACGUUCGCAAAAUAAAAUAACUCACUGAUGCUCUUUCCAGCCUGCAAGGUGGACCGCUGUGGAGCCCCAAGCACAAGGCAAGCGGAAACGGCAAGGAGCAAAACCAGUUGUAGUCGCAUCGUUAGGCGUACGUAAGCAGACUGCGCUCGGGAGUGAUCGUGGCUGUUUGAAACGUGUCCGAAGGGCUAUUCUGCGCGAUUAUAAUAAAAAAAAAAAUUACGCGCCAUUUGCAUUUUAAAAACGCGCCAUUUGCAUUAAAAACACAUUUUUCAAUAAAAUUAACGCUUUGUUUUCGUUAUAGAACAUAAUAAUAUUUAAUUUGUCAUUUGUAAUCAACAGCUCACUUCAAUCGCGCUCGGGAAACACCGUGGAGGGGAGCUCAUUCCGUAGCCGGAUGGUACGUGGCAAAAAAGACCUCUGGAAACGCACCGUCGAUGACCGCAGCGGCUCCAGAAUCAUCUCCUUCGGGCGAAUCAAUUGUAGCUAUAUCGACAUCAGAUACGAACGGCGAUAGCUUUGCGACUCGAACGAAUGAUGGAAGCAGAAAAAGGAUCGCACAAAGCAUCAGCGUCGCAUCAUCAGGAAAAACCGGAACUGGCAGAAGCUUCGCGUCAGCAUCAAGCUCAGCCGGUCACCCGUACUUAUUCCCAUUCUACAUCUCCCCAUUCCAAGGAUUCCCGAUAAACGACUGGGUUAGGAACGUUGAGAGUUUCUAUGACCCCAGUUUCGCCGGACACGGUGAGUCAAUCACGGCCGUGAACGAGAACGGGCAUAUCUAUGGCGAAAUUAACGGAGUACCAUUCGACAACAGUGCCAAGAGUGAUUCGUAACUAAUGCUUUGUAAGUGUUUUUUAGAUUUAAUUAUAAUCAAUUUAGUAUAAAUGAAAUAAAUUUGCGGUACAUGAA